UAUGUGUCUGUAUGUGUCUGUAUGUAUGUGUCUGUGUGUGUCUCUGUAUGUAUGUGUCUGUAUCAUACAGACAAACACAUGCAUACAGAGACACACACAGACACAUACAUACAGACACACAUA
rnacentral:miRNA from 1 species